UUUAGAAAUGUGCUUUUAUUUUCAAACUCAGGUACGUGACACUCUACAGUUGAUGCUAGCACACCUGUGAAAGGUUUAACAACAUUAGGAACUGAUGGCCAGUGAUAUGCAAAGCCAGCAUCUCCUUCUCCAUUCACUCUGUCAGGUUGUACACAAGAAGCAAUGCAGAGGGCCAAUAGAGAUUCACAUACUCCAACACUUCAUUUCCUCCAACCACUCUUCCAGUGUUGGGCUAUCCAUGUUCUGCCUUUCAAAUUAUUGUGGAUAAGACUUUGUCAAGGGUUUUUGUUUUAUUUGCUACAUGGGUCACCAUCUUUCCAGCCCUUGGUAUUAGAUUGUUUACUGAUACUUUACUGCUAAGCCACUGUUUAGCCAGCCAGCUUUCCCAUUGCUGGGACACAAUACCUAAGAUCCAUUACUUAAGGUAGGGCAGAUUUAAUUUGGUUCAUGGUUUUAGGGGAUUCAGUUAGUGGUUUAAAACUGGCUCUGAGGCAGAAAUAUCAUGGCAGAAGGGUGUGGGGAGCAAAGAUGCUUAGUUCAUGGUGGUCAAGAGACAGAACAGGAGGACAUUGCCAGAGAGAAAGGGGCCAGAGACCAUACAUGGUGUUCGAGGACAUGUCACCAUAACCCAUCCAGACACAAACAGAAGUUUCCUUCACCAAUCCCCUGGGCAAUUCCCAAAUCAAUCAAGUUGACACCAGGAAGCUUAACCAUCAUAGCCACUUCCUAUUUUGGAAUUUUAUGUUAAAGCACAUUUUGGGUUCAAAGAUAUACAUCAGCCAAGGUAGGUUAGCUGCUAUCACAAACAUUGCUGAAUCUCAGUCACUUAACAUGCUUGUAUUUUACUUCUUGCUCAUGUCAUACUUUAAUGUGGUAAGUACUCACCAAAAACUCUGCUUCAUCCUGUGGUUCUACCAUCUUAUCAAAUUUCAUAGCUGUCAACAGAUUUCUCCCAUUUUGGUAGACAGAACAGGGGAGAAAGUGUAUGUGGGGUACUGGGCAGAACAUUUUGUUUUGGGGAACUAGAUUACCAAGGUUCACAUUUCCCUGUACCCAUCUGCAAGAAAGACCAAAAAUGCAGGCAAGCUGUGGAAAUAGGGUUGUUUAAAAUUCAGUAGUCUUUAUCGACUUUAUCAUAGCAAAAUAUAUUUUAGAACAUAGACCAGGAAGGCACAGGAAAGUAGGACAAGAUAUGGGCAAGGAAUGAAGGACAGGAACUGACCAGCUUCCGUUGGUGGCCCAUAGGACAAUGAUCCAGUGGCUGCGAACCUCUGCUUGGUUCUGGGAGGCACAAAUAUCCAAAGGGCUCUGACUCAAGGUUGGAGUAAGAUUGUGGCUCAGCUCCACUGAAUGAAGAGGCAUUUGGCUACUGCUCAAGUGGGAGAACUGUGCUAAACUCUCAGAAGUAAACUGAUUUCCAGUGACUGAUGACAAAGGAUCAGAUCAACCUCAAGGACUCCCUUCAAACCACCCCAAAGAAACCAACUGGGCACCUCAUCAGGCUGGAAUUUCCUCCUGUUUUUUAUACCAGGCUUAAAAAAAUAUGAACAAUGAGAAUAUUGAAGGUGACCAAACCAAAGAGAUGGGGAAAGUGUCGGAAGUUCUCCUUGAAGACCCUGGGCUCAUACACCCAAUGCACUACACAGGCCAGCCUCUGAGAAGCAAGGAGCACCAACGCAGAGCUAGUAGAAUGGAUGGCUUGCCAUGGACUGAAAACUCAACAAAUACCUUUUUUGGAAAGGCUGCCCAGAGUGCUUGCCUCGGAUGCUAAAGCUGCAGGAAUAGUGAUUGGUUUAUCAGACAUGUGGAAACUUAAUCAGGUCACUUUAGCAACUGAGCAAAGUAAAAAGGCAAGAACAUUAGCUGAUGUGAAAAUCACUGGCUGUUUUCACAACUGUUCGGGAGUGCUCAGAAAGGCAAGCUUAUUUUCUUUCAGCCCCAAUUAGAGUCUUUAGAUUCUAUUUAGAUAUAAUUGAAUGCCAAAAUGGAGUCACGCCUUGGAGCUACAUUUCUGUGCUCAAAACAGACUGCAAGGGUGAGGAGAAUCCCUCUGUAAAUCUACUCGUCAGUGAAACUACAAAGGAGGAAGCCAAAAAUCUGGCUUUGUGACUCUUCCUUGAUCACCCAUUUCUAGCUUGUAAGAGAGGUUAGAAUUAAAAUUAGGUUAGAAAUAGAAUUCAAUUUUUGGUAGUUAAGUGAACUUCUGUUUUUUGAGAGUUAUUGGAAAAGUAAAGGGACCUGCCUAAAUAUCGUUUUAGCCCUGUAGAGCAGGUUUGAACAGGUGGUGGGAAAAAAAUACAAAGUUUUAUGUUGCACAUAUGAGUCCUGCUUCUUCAAGGAUUAUGUGAAUUUCAGAAGACUCUUCUCUAUUUUGACAUUGUUAAAAUGUUGGGUUGAUUCACCCAAAAUUCCUGUAAACUGAAUGUUCCAGACAGCAAUAUUUAUAACAGAUUCACAACAGAUUACAUUAUUACAUAGAAUAGAGAAAAAACUCAGAUGAAAGAUGUUUGAUUCAACAAUCUCUUAAACAAAGGUCAGGUACU